UACAGAGGUCUCAAGCGUUGUCCGGAUUUAUUGGGCGUAAAGAGCUCGUAGGUGGUUCGGUAAGUCGGAUGUGAAAUCUCCAGGCUCAACCUGGAGGGGUCAUUCGAUACUGCCGUGACUAGAGUUCGGUAGGGGAGUGUGGAAUUCCGGGUGGAGCGGUGAAAUGCGUAGAGAUCCGGAGGAACACUAGGGGCGAAGGCGGCCGACUGGCCGAGUGCUGACGCUGAGGCGCGACGGCGUGGGGAGCAAACCGG
rnacentral:rRNA from 1 species